rnacentral:rRNA from 1 species
UACGGAGGGGGCAAGCGUUAUUCGGAAUUAUUGGGCGUAAAGGGCGCGUAGGCGGCCGAUCAAGUCGGGGGUGAAAGCCUGUGGCUCAACCACAGAAUUGCCUUCGAUACUGUUUGGCUUGAGACCGGAAGAGGUAAGUGGAACUGCGAGUGUAGAGGUGAAAUUCGUAGAUAUUCGCAAGAACACCAGUGGCGAAGGCGGCUUACUGGUCCGGUUCUGACGCUGAGGCGCGAAAGCGUGGGGAGCAAACAGG